AUAAAUGUGUCACAUGACCCAAAUCUCGUGUGUGACCCCCCAAACCCAAAUUUUCAUUUUCCUCCCCAAUUUUUUGGGACGUCCCCAAAAAAUCCCAAAUUCUUCCCAAAUUCCGCCCCAAAAAUUCCCAAAUUCCCAAAUAAUUCCCGAAUUCCCCUUUUUCCCCCAAAAAAUUCCCAAAUAAUUCCCGAAUUCCAAAAUUCCCGAAUUCCCCCUUUUCCCCCCAAAAUUUCCCGAUUUUCCCCGUUUUCCCCCCAGAAUCCACUCGGGCUCCGAUUUCUGCUUUAUUUGCUCAAUUCCCGUUUUUUUUUGCUUCUUUUCCCAUUUUUUUUUCCCCAUUUUUAUUUUUUAUUUUUUAUUUUUUAUUUUUUUCCCGCGGAUUGGGGAAAGGUGAAGAGGGGGAGGGGAAAAUUCCGUCAUUUUAUUUUUAUUUUCAUAAUUUUCAUUAUUUUCAUUAUUUAUUUUCAUCAUUUUCAUUAUUUGUUUUCAUUAUUUAUUUUCAUCAUUUUCAUUAUUAUCAUUUCUUCUCCUUUUUCUUCGUUUUUUCCCCCGUUUUUCCCCAUUUUUUAUUUUUUAUUUUUUAUUUUUAUUUUUUUUAAUUUUAAUUUUUCUUCACACGACGACACAAACGGGAGGGGGGGGGAGGGGCGAGGGGGAGACCCCCAAAAUAUCCCCAAUUUUGCCCCUCCCCCCUCCCCAAAAUCCCGAUUUUUUGGGGUUUUUUUUGGGGGGGGAUCUGGGAGCUUUUUUGGGGACCCCCCCAUAAGGCGAGGAGCCCCCCCCACCCCUCGACCCCUCCCCAAAUUUUUGGGGUUUUUUUUUGGGGGGGUGGUGGGAGGGAAAAAAGGGAAUUUUUGGGGAAAAAAAGGGAUUUUUGGGGAGGGAAAAAUGGGAUUUUUUGGGGGGGAAAAAAGGGGAUUUUGGGGGGGGGUCUCGUGUUGUUUUUUUGGGGGGGGUCCCGUGGUUUUUGUGGUUUUUUUGGGGGUCAGUAGUAGGUUUCCUUCUCCACCCAACCUGGAAAAGUGGAGGAAAAAAAUGGUGAGGGUGGAAGCAAAAGUCGCGAAAUUUCACCCAAAAUUUCACCCAAAAUUCCACCCAAAUUCCACCCCAAAGUUCUGCACAAAAUCCCCCCCAAAAUUCCACCGAAAUCGCCCAAAAUUCCCCCCCAAAUCCACUCAAAAUCCACGUAAAACACCGGAAAAAAUCUCCCCAAAAAUCAUCCCCAAAAUCCUCCCCCAAAUCCGCCAAAUUCCCCUGAAAUCUCCUCAAAAUUCCCCCCAAAAUUCCCCCCCAAAUCCCCGCAAAAUUCCUCCAAAAAUCCCC
rnacentral:lncRNA from 14 species